GAAUGCCCUGAAACCCUGAGCAGAGUAAACAUCCUCCUUUUCUGUUUCUUUCUUAGGUAUAACAACCACAGUAACACGGUGCACACAGGCAACAUUCCAUCUAUCUCUCUAGGUAGACUCCAGUCAUCAAAUGAAAACAGGAAGGAUGUUCAUGCACGUGAUUGGACUGAAUCACUGAUCGUCCCUUCUCUUAGACAUGGCUACCAUACUAUCUGGAAUGUUUGUAUCAGAUGACCUCAGAGAACAGGGUCAAGCCUCAGAGACACAUUGCAAAAACCCUGCUGUGUUUCCUUAUUUUUAAUGUUACUGGUCACAGUGAUAUGUUGCUUAGGAAGCACGAAGGCACACUGGCCUUUCAGAAGUCAGUUAGGAAGAGGAUAUGUGGCUGGCUAACACAUGUGUGGCUCAGGAUCUUCUACACAGAACAUAGAAGCUGUCCAAGAGCUCUUUCAUGGUCUUUACAUGUCAAAGGAUGAAUGUGUCAAGGCAGAAGAUGGCUUAGCACAUCCCACCAAGUCUGCAGACCAGGGUUCCAUCUUCAGGACACACACAUAUUAGAAGGAAAAAGUCGAGUCCCAUAAGUGAGUCUCUGGCCUUCAAGAGCCCUCUCUCCCCCCUAAAUAACUAGAUAAAUGAAU
rnacentral:lncRNA from 1 species